UUGCUUCAGCAGCAGAUAUCCUGGAACCGGAGAGAAACAGAGAGGGUCAGCAGGCCUCUACACAAGGAUGACACUCAAGUUUGUGAAGCAUUCCACAUUUUA